UACGUAGGGGGCUAGCGUUGUCCGGAAUCAUUGGGCGUAAGCGCGCGUAGGCGGCCCGGUAAGUCCGCUGUAAAAGUCAAAGGCUCAACCUUUGAAUGUCAGUGGAUACUGCCGGGCUAGAGUCCGGAAGAGGCGAGUGGAACUCCUGGUGUAGCGGGUGGAAUGCGCAGAUAUCAGGAAGAACACCAACGGCGAAGGCAGCUCGCUAGGACGGUACUGACGCUGAGACGCGAAAGCGUGGGGAGCGAACAGG
rnacentral:rRNA from 1 species